rnacentral:rRNA from 1 species
GACAGAGGGUGCAAACGUUGCUCGGAAUCACUGGGCGUAAAGGGCGUGUAGGCGGGAAGGUAAGUCGGGCGUGAAAUCUCGGAGCUUAACUCCGAAACUGCAUUCGAUACUGCCGUGCUUGAGGACUGGAGAGGAGACUGGAAUUUACGGUGUAGCGGUGAAAUGCGUAGAUAUCGUAAGGAAGACCAGUGGCGAAGGCGGGUCUCUGGACAGUUCCUGACGCUGAGGCACGAAGGUCAGGGGAGCAAACGGG